ACAAUGGAGAGUUUGAUCCUGGCUCAGGAUGAACGCUAGCGGCAGGCCUAAUACAUGCAAGUCGAACGGGAUUGAGAAGCUUGCUUUUCAUGAGAGUGGCGCACGGG
rnacentral:rRNA from 1 species